GACGAACGCUGGCGGCGUGCUUAACACAUGCAAGUCGAACGGUAAGGCCCUUCGGGGUACACGAGUGGCGAACGGGUGAGUAACACGUGGGUGAUCUGCCCUGCACUUCGGGAUAAGCCUGGGAAACUGGGUCUAAUACCGGAUAGGACCACUGCCUGCAUGGGUGGUGGUGGAAAGCUUUUGCGGUGUGGGAUGGGCCCGCGGCCUAUCAGCUUGUUGGUGGGGUGAUGGACUACCAAGGCGACGACGGGUAGCCGGCCUGAGAGGUGGACCGGCCACACUGGGACCGAGAGACGGCCCAGACUCCUACGGGAGGCAGCAGUGGGGAAUAUUGCACAAUGGGCGGAAGCCUGAUGCAGCGACGCCGCGUGAGGGAUGACGGCCUUCGGGUUGUAAACCUCUUUCAGCACCGACGAAGCGCAAGUGACGGUAGGUGCAGAAGAAGGACCGGCCAACUACGUGCCAGCCGCCGCAGUAA
rnacentral:rRNA from 1 species